rnacentral:rRNA from 1 species
AUACGUAGGUGACAAGCGUUAUCCGGAUCUAUUGGGUUUAAAGGGAGCGCAGGCGGAGAUGCAAGCGUGACGUCAAAUUUCGGGGCUCAACCCCGUCUCGCGUCGCGAACUGCGUCCCUUGGUUGCGGGAAGGGGUGGCGGAACUCGUGGUGUAGCAGUGAAAUGCAUAGAUAUCACGAAGAACUCCGAUCGCGAAGGCAGCCUUCCGGCCCGUCAACGACGCUCAUGCUCGAAGGUGCGGGUAUCAAACAGGAUUAGAUACCCUGGUAGUCCGCACAGUAAACGAUGGACACCCGCGGUUUGGCCUGUAUGGCUGAGCCGCCAAGCGAAAGCGUUAAGUGUCCCACCUGGGGAGUACGCCGGCAACGGUGAAACUCAAAUGAAUUGACGGGG